UACGGAGGGUGCAAGCGUUACCCGGAAUCACUGGGCGUAAAGGGCGUGUAGGCGGCCGCAUAAGUCUGGUUUUAAAGACCGGGGCUCAACCCCGGAGAUGGACUGGAGACUGUGGGGCUAGACCUCUGGAGAGAGAACUGGAAUUCCUGGUGUAGCGGUGGAAUGCGUAGAUACCAGGAGGAACACCAAUGGCGAAGGCAGGUUCUUGGACAGAAGGUGACGCUGAGGCGCGAAAGUGUGGGGAGCGAACCGG
rnacentral:rRNA from 1 species